rnacentral:rRNA from 1 species
GGAGGGGGCGAGCGUUAUUCGGAAUCAUUGGGCGUAAAGGGCAGGUAGGCGGCUUUGUAUGUCCAAUGUGAAAGCCCUCGGCUCAACCGAGGAAUUGCAUUGGAAACUGCAGGGCUUGAGUCCGGGAGAGGGAAGCGGAAUUCCCAGUGUAGCGGUGAAAUGCGUAGAUAUUGGGAGGAACACCAGUGGCGAAGGCGGCUUCCUGGACCGGUACUGACGCUGAUCUGCGAAAGCCAGGGGAGCAAACGGGGGAUUAGAUACCCCGGUAGUCCUGGCUGUAAACGAUGAGCACUUGGUGUGGCGGGUAUCGACCCCCCUGCUGUGCCGACGCUAACGCAUUAAGUGCUCCGCCCUGGGAUACGGUCGCAAGGCUG